rnacentral:rRNA from 1 species
UGUAGUCAUAUGCUUGUCUCAAAGAUUAAGCCAUGCAUGUCUAAGUAUAAGCAACUAUACGGUGAAACUGCGAAUGGCUCAUUAAAUCAGUUAUCGUUUAUCUGAUAGUACCUUACUACAUGGAUAACCGUGGUAAUUCUAGAGCUAAUACAUGCUAAAAACCUCGACUUCGGAAGGGGUGUAUUUAUUAGAUAAAAAACCAAUGCCCUUCGGGGCUCCUUGGUGAAUCAUAAUAACUUAACGAAUCGCAUGGCCUUGCGCCGGCGAUGGUUCAUUCAAAUUUCUGCCCUAUCAACUUUCGAUGGUAGGAUAGUGGCCUACCAUGGUAUCAACGGGUAACGGGGAAUG